rnacentral:rRNA from 1 species
GGGUUGUGAGGUUAAGCGACUAAGCGUACACGGUGGAUGCCCUGGCAGUCAGAGGCGAUGAAGGGCGUGCUAAUCUGCGAUAAGCGCCGGUAAGGUGAUAUGAACCGUUAUAACCGGCGAUACCCGAAUGGGGAAACCCAGUGUGAUUCGUCACACUAUCAUUAACUGAAUCCAUAGGUUAAUGAGGCGAACCGGGGGAACUGAAACAUCUAAGUACCCCGAGGAAAAGAAAUCAACCGAGAUUCCCCCAGUAGCGGCGAGCGAACGGGGAGGAGCCCAGAGCCUGAAUCAGCAUGUGUGUUAGUGGAAGCGUCUGGAAAGGCGCGCGAUACAGGGUGACAGCCCCGUACACAAAAGCGCAUGUGCUGUGAGCUCGAUGAGUAGGGCGGGACACGUGGUAUCCUGUCUGAAUAUGGGGGGACCAUCCUCCAAGGCUAAAUACUCCUGACUGACCGAUAGUGAACCAGUACCGUGAGGGAAAGGCGAAAAGAACCCCGGCGAGGGGAGUGAAAAAGAACCUGAAACCGUGUACGUACAAGCAGUGGGAGCNNGUGACUGCGUACCUUUUGUAUAAUGGGUCAGCGACUUAUAUUCUGUAGCAAGGUUAACCGAAUAGGGGAGCCGGAGGGAAACCGAGUCUUAAUUGGGCGUUAAGUUGCAGGGUAUAGACCCGAAACCCGGUGAUCUAGCCAUGGGCAGGUUGAAGGUUGGGUAACACUAACUGGAGGACCGAACCGACUAAUGUUGAAAAAUUAGCGGAUGACCUGUGGCUGGGGGUGAAAGGCCAAUCAAACCGGGAGAUAGCUGGUUCUCCCCGAAAGCUAUUUAGGUAGCGCCUCGUGAAUUCAUCUCCGGGGGUAGAGCACUGUUUCGGCUAGGGGGCCAUCCCGGCUUACCAACCCGAUGCAAACUGCGAAUACCGGAGAAUGUUAUCACGGGAGACACACGGCGGGUGCUAACGUCCGUCGUGAAGAGGGAAACAACCCAGACCGCCAGCUAAGGUCCCAAAGUCAUGGUUAAGUGGGAAACGAUGUGGGAAGGCCCAGACAGCCAGGAUGUUGGCUUAGAAGCAGCCAUCAUUUAAAGAAAGCGUAAUAGCUCACUGGUCGAGUCGGCCUGCGCGGAAGAUGUAACGGGGCUAAACCAUGCACCGAAGCUGCGGCAGCGANNGUUGGGUAGGGGAGCGUUCUGUAAGCCUGUGAAGGUGGCCUGUGAGGGUUGCUGGAGGUAUCAGAAGUGCGAAUGCUGACAUAAGUAACGAUAAAGCGGGUGAAAAGCCCGCUCGCCGGAAGACCAAGGGUUCCUGUCCAACGUUAAUCGGGGCAGGGUGAGUCGACCCCUAAGGCGAGGCCGAAAGGCGUAGUCGAUGGGAAACGGGUUAAUAUUCCCGUACUUGGUGUUACUGCGAAGGGGGGACGGAGAAGGCUAUGUUGGCCGGGCGACGGUUGUCCCGGUUUAAGCGUGUAGGUGUGUGUUCCAGGUAAAUCCGGUUCACUUUAACACUGAGGCGUGAUGACGAGGCACUACGGUGCUGAAGUAACAAAUGCCCUGCUUCCAGGAAAAGCCUCUAAGCAUCAGGUAACAUCAAAUCGUACCCCAAACCGACACAGGUGGUCAGGUAGAGAAUACCAAGGCGCUUGAGAGAACUCGGGUGAAGGAACUAGGCAAAAUGGUGCCGUAACUUCGGGAGAAGGCACGCUGACACGUAGGUGAAGUGAUUUACUCAUGGAGCUGAAGUCAGUCGAAGAUACCAGCUGGCUGCAACUGUUUAUUAAAAACACAGCACUGUGCAAACACGAAAGUGGACGUAUACGGUGUGACGCCUGCCCGGUGCCGGAAGGUUAAUUGAUGGGGUCAGCGCAAGCGAAGCUCCUGAUCGAAGCCCCGGUAAACGGCGGCCGUAACUAUAACGGUCCUAAGGUAGCGAAAUUCCUUGUCGGGUAAGUUCCGACCUGCACGAAUGGCGUAAUGAUGGCCAGGCUGUCUCCACCCGAGACUCAGUGAAAUUGAACUCGCUGUGAAGAUGCAGUGUACCCGCGGCAAGACGGAAAGACCCCGUGAACCUUUACUAUAGCUUGACACUGAACAUUGAGCCUUGAUGUGUAGGAUAGGUGGGAGGCUUUGAAGCGUGGACGCCAGUCUGCGUGGAGCCGACCUUGAAAUACCACCCUUUAAUGUUUGAUGUUCUAACGUGGACCCGUGAUCCGGGUUGCGGACAGUGUCUGGUGGGUAGUUUGACUGGGGCGGUCUCCUCCUAAAGAGUAACGGAGGAGCACGAAGGUUGGCUAAUCCUGGUCGGACAUCAGGAGGUUAGUGCAAUGGCAUAAGCCAGCUUGACUGCGAGCGUGACGGCGCGAGCAGGUGCGAAAGCAGGUCAUAGUGAUCCGGUGGUUCUGAAUGGAAGGGCCAUCGCUCAACGGAUAAAAGGUACUCCGGGGAUAACAGGCUGAUACCGCCCAAGAGUUCAUAUCGACGGCGGUGUUUGGCACCUCGAUGUCGGCUCAUCACAUCCUGGGGCUGAAGUAGGUCCCAAGGGUAUGGCUGUUCGCCAUUUAAAGUGGUACGCGAGCUGGGUUUAGAACGUCGUGAGACAGUUCGGUCCCUAUCUGCCGUGGGCGCUGGAGAACUGAGGGGGGCUGCUCCUAGUACGAGAGGACCGGAGUGGACGCAUCACUGGUGUUCGGGUUGUCAUGCCAAUGGCACUGCCCGGUAGCUAAAUGCGGAAGAGAUAAGUGCUGAAAGCAUCUAAGCACGAAACUUGCCCCGAGAUGAGUUCUCCCUGAGACUUAGAGUCUCCUGAAGGAACGUUGAAGACGACGACGUUGAUAGGCCGGGUGUGUAAGCGCAGCGAUGCGUUGAGCUAACCGGUACUA